UAAGUCUAAUGUAGAAUAGACAUAUCAUAACUGAUUCAUGAUAAUGUUGAUUACAGUCUUCUUAUGUCAACUGUCACAUUUUGCUGCAAUUGUAUUGUUAAAUUGGAAGAGAUUUAGGGAAGAUUAAAGAAUGGCAAUUAAUAUUGUUUUCUUAGGCAGUUUUGUUGUAUUUUAAUUGAUGCUUCACUGUCUGAUUAUUUUGAAUGUUGUUGUUGCAACUUGCAGGUCAACCCAUUCGCAAGACAAAUGUUAUCAAAUUGUUUUUAAAGUCCUGACAUUGAAAGUGAAAGUAUAUGAAUAGUCAAUCCUAGGGAAUACCAUUACCAACAGGAGUACAAUUGUGUGAUUGUCUGUAUCCUGAACCUUGUGAUAAUUAUUACUAUCCAAGAUGACUAUGAGAAGUUACUAACUCGUGAUAUUAAUGUCCAAUUCCUUCAAGUACUGGCCCCAGGUGUUGUCCAUCCUAAUCGCUCCUCCAACAAGACUGGUAGUGCCACUAAUGUGUAUCCUUCAGCUGGUACUCCUUCUGGUGACAAAUCACUCGCCGAUGGGGUGGGCAUUAAUAAGAGAUUCAGAAUGGAGGAUUUAGGACUCGUCUGGGAGACGGUAGAAUCACUGCAUCACUUCUUAUAUCCAGAUGGUUGUCAGUUGUAUGCUACUGAGAGGGAGCCAGCCUGUGUUCCUGUUGUCCUUACUAAUAUCCUUGGUACUCGUACUUAUGCGAUGGCUAUCAAGUUCACACGUCCAUUCUUCAUUGAAAAG